rnacentral:rRNA from 1 species
UAGGGAAUCUUCGGCAAUGGACGAAAGUCUGACCGAGCAACGCCGCGUGAGUGAAGAAGGUUUUCGGAUCGUAAAACUCUGUUGUUAGAGAAGAACAAGGACGUUAGUAACUGAACGUCCCCUGACGGUAUCUAACCAGAAAGCCACGGCUAACUACGUGCCAGCAGCCGCGGUAAUACGUAGGUGGCAAGCGUUGUCCGGAUUUAUUGGGCGUAAAGCGAGCGCAGGCGGUUUCUUAAGUCUGAUGUGAAAGCCCCCGGCUCAACCGGGGAGGGUCAUGGGAAACUGGGGGAAUUGAGUGCAGAAGAGGAGAGUGGAAUUCCAUGUGUAGCGGUGAAAUGCGUAGAUAUAUGGAGGAACACCAGUGGCGAGGGCGGCUCUCUGGUCUGUAACUGACGCUGAGGCUCGAAAGCGUGGGGAGCAAACAGG